ensembl:snRNA U5 U5 spliceosomal RNA
AUUCUCUGGUUUCUUUUCUGAUCAUGUAAAUCUUUCACCUUUUACUAAAGAUUUCUGUGGAGAGGAACAACUCCAAGUCUUAAAAAAAAUAAAAAUGAAAACCACCCCGGGGCAUGGUGGCU